UACGAAGGGGGCUAGCGUUGCUCGGAAUCACUGGGCGUAAAGCGCACGUAGGCGGAUUGCUAAGUCAGGGGUGAAAUCCUGGGAGCUCAACUCCAGAACUGCCCUUUGAUACUGGCGACCUUGAGUCCGGGAGAGGUGAGUGGAACUGCGAGUGUAGAGGUGAAAUUCGUAGAUAUUCGCAAGAACACCAGUGGCGAAGGCGGCUCACUGGCCCGGUACUGACGCUGAGGUGCGAAAGCGUGGGAGCAACAGGAUAAGAUACCCGGA
rnacentral:rRNA from 1 species